rnacentral:rRNA from 1 species
AGCGAACGCUGGCGGCAGGCCUAACACAUGCAAGCCGAACGAAGUCUUCGGACUUAGUGGCGGACGGGUGAGUAACACGUGGGAACGUGCCUUUAGGUUCGGAAUAACUCAGGGAAACUUGUGCUAAUACCGAAUGUGCCCUUCGGGGGAAAGAUUUAUCGCCUUUAGAGCGGCCCGCGUCUGAUUAGCUAGUUGGUGAGGUAAUGGCUCACCAAGGCUACGAUCAGUAGCUGGUCUGAGAGGAUGACCAGCCACAUUGGGACUGAGACACGGCCCAAACUCCUACGGGAGGCAGCAGUGGGGAAUCUUGCGCAAUGGGCGAAAGCCUGACGCAGCCAUGCCGCGUGGAUGAUGAAGGUCUUAGGAUUGUAAAAUCCUUUCGCCGGUGAAGAUAAUGACUGUAGCCGGAGAAGAAGCCCCGGCUAACUUCGUGCCAGCCGCCGCGGUAAUAC